GGGUUGUGAGGUUAAGCGACUAAGCGUACACGGUGGAUGCCCUGGCAGUCAGAGGCGAUGAAGGGCGUGCUAAUCUGCGAUAAGCGCCGGUAAGGUGAUAUGAACCGUUAUAACCGGCGAUACCCGAAUGGGGAAACCCAGUGUGAUUCGUCACACUAUCAUUAACUGAAUCCAUAGGUUAAUGAGGCGAACCGGGGGAACUGAAACAUCUAAGUACCCCGAGGAAAAGAAAUCAACCGAGAUUCCCCCAGUAGCGGCGAGCGAACGGGGAGGAGCCCAGAGCCUGAAUCAGCAUGUGUGUUAGUGGAAGCGUCUGGAAAGGCGCGCGAUACAGGGUGACAGCCCCGUACACAAAAGCGCAUGUGCUGUGAGCUCGAUGAGUAGGGCGGGACACGUGGUAUCCUGUCUGAAUAUGGGGGGACCAUCCUCCAAGGCUAAAUACUCCUGACUGACCGAUAGUGAACCAGUACCGUGAGGGAAAGGCGAAAAGAACCCCGGCGAGGGGAGUGAAAAAGAACCUGAAACCGUGUACGUACAAGCAGUGGGAGCACAGGUUUACCUGUGUGACUGCGUACCUUUUGUAUAAUGGGUCAGCGACUUAUAUUCUGUAGCAAGGUUAACCGUAUAGGGGAGCCGCAGGGAAACCGAGUCUUAAUUGGGCGUUAAGUUGCAGGGUAUAGACCCGAAACCCGGUGAUCUAGCCAUGGGCAGGUUGAAGGUUGGGUAACACUAACUGGAGGACCGAACCGACUAAUGUUGAAAAAUUAGCGGAUGACCUGUGGCUGGGGGUGAAAGGCCAAUCAAACCGGGAGAUAGCUGGUUCUCCCCGAAAGCUAUUUAGGUAGCGCCUCGUGAAUUCAUCUCCGGGGGUAGAGCACUGUUUCGGCUAGGGGGCCAUCCCGGCUUACCAACCCGAUGCAAACUGCGAAUACCGGAGAAUGUUAUCACGGGAGACACACGGCGGGUGCUAACGUCCGUCGUGAAGAGGGAAACAACCCAGACCGCCAGCUAAGGUCCCAAAGUCAUGGUUAAGUGGGAAACGAUGUGGGAAGGCCCAGACAGCCAGGAUGUUGGCUUAGAAGCAGCCAUCAUUUAAAGAAAGCGUAAUAGCUCACUGGUCGAGUCGGCCUGCGCGGAAGAUGUAACGGGGCUAAACCAUGCACCGAAGCUGCGGCAGCGAACGUAUCACUUAAAGCGAUUCAGCGGGUUACGAUUGACGGAGCGAAGCGACGUCAAAGCGUAUACAAAGUCGAGUCGGUUUAAGGAUACGUUCGUUGGGUAGGGGAGCGUUCUGUAAGCCUGUGAAGGUGGCCUGUGAGGGUUGCUGGAGGUAUCAGAAGUGCGAAUGCUGACAUAAGUAACGAUAAAGCGGGUGAAAAGCCCGCUCGCCGGAAGACCAAGGGUUCCUGUCCAACGUUAAUCGGGGCAGGGUGAGUCGACCCCUAAGGCGAGGCCGAAAGGCGUAGUCGAUGGGAAACGGGUUAAUAUUCCCGUACUUGGUGUUACUGCGAAGGGGGGACGGAGAAGGCUAUGUUGGCCGGGCGACGGUUGUCCCGGUUUAAGCGUGUAGGUGUGUGUUCCAGGUAAAUCCGGUUCACUUUAACACUGAGGCGUGACGACGAGGCACUACGGUGCUGAAGCAACAAAUGCCCUGCUUCCAGGAAAAGCCUCUAAGCAUCAGGUAACAUCAAAUCGUACCCCAAACCGACACAGGUGGUCAGGUAGAGAAUACCAAGGCGCUUGAGAGAACUCGGGUGAAGGAACUAGGCAAAAUGGUGCCGUAACUUCGGGAGAAGGCACGCUGACACGUAGGUGAAGUGAUUUACUCAUGGAGCUGAAGUCAGUCGAAGAUACCAGCUGGCUGCAACUGUUUAUUAAAAACACAGCACUGUGCAAACACGAAAGUGGACGUAUACGGUGUGACGCCUGCCCGGUGCCGGAAGGUUAAUUGAUGGGGUCAGCGCAAGCGAAGCUCCUGAUCGAAGCCCCGGUAAACGGCGGCCGUAACUAUAACGGUCCUAAGGUAGCGAAAUUCCUUGUCGGGUAAGUUCCGACCUGCACGAAUGGCGUAAUGAUGGCCAGGCUGUCUCCACCCGAGACUCAGUGAAAUUGAACUCGCUGUGAAGAUGCAGUGUACCCGCGGCAAGACGGAAAGACCCCGUGAACCUUUACUAUAGCUUGACACUGAACACUGGUCCUUGAUGUGUAGGAUAGGUGGGAGGCUUUGAAGUGUGGACGCCAGUCUGCAUGGAGCCAUCCUUGAAAUACCACCCUUUAAUGGCUGGUGUUCUAACGUAGACCCGUAAUCCGGGUUGCGGACAGUGUCUGGUGGGUAGUUUGACUGGGGCGGUCUCCUCCUAAAGAGUAACGGAGGAGCACGAAGGUUGGCUAAUCCUGGUCGGACAUCAGGAGGUUAGUGCAAUGGCAUAAGCCAGCUUGACUGCGAGCGUGACGGCGCGAGCAGGUGCGAAAGCAGGUCAUAGUGAUCCGGUGGUUCUGAAUGGAAGGGCCAUCGCUCAACGGAUAAAAGGUACUCCGGGGAUAACAGGCUGAUACCGCCCAAGAGUUCAUAUCGACGGCGGUGUUUGGCACCUCGAUGUCGGCUCAUCACAUCCUGGGGCUGAAGUAGGUCCCAAGGGUAUGGCUGUUCGCCAUUUAAAGUGGUACGCGAGCUGGGUUUAGAACGUCGUGAGACAGUUCGGUCCCUAUCUGCCGUGGGCGCUGGAGAACUGAGGGGGGCUGCUCCUAGUACGAGAGGACCGGAGUGGACGCAUCACUGGUGUUCGGGUUGUCAUGCCAAUGGCACUGCCCGGUAGCUAAAUGCGGAAGAGAUAAGUGCUGAAAGCAUCUAAGCACGAAACUUGCCCCGAGAUGAGUUCUCCCUGAGACUUAGAGUCUCCUGAAGGAACGUUGAAGACGACGACGUUGAUAGGCCGGGUGUGUAAGCGCAGCGAUGCGUUGAGCUAACCGGUACUAAUGAACCGUGAGGCUUAACC
rnacentral:rRNA from 1 species